AAAGUGUUCAAUACAGGCAGUUUCUCUAUUUUUUAAUUAAACUUUGGGACAUUGGAAUGGGCUGGGGGAGAUUAUUAGAUAGAAAAUAUUACUAUUCAUUAAUUAUGAAACCUACAAAA